rnacentral:misc_RNA from 1 species
GGAGACUGGUCAAAGGUUGCUAAAGACAGACAUGCAGAAGGAGUUUGCGUCAUUAUUUAAACAAAACCUAGUAAUACUAAAUCGCUACCAAUGAGACCAAUCUCAUAUUUACAUGGAGAACCCAGACUAAUAUGGGAAGAAGAUGAGGUAACACAGAUGAUUUACAAAGAGAAUCUUGAAUAUGCGGUCAUUGGAAUGUUUUCGUAUGGAAUGCCAGAGAUCAUAUAACUAAGAUUCAUAAUCCCUAAACAAUGUGAAUUGAUAAAAUUGGACUCUUGGGUAAUCAACAUGUAUUAAUGAGAGCGGCAAACAUGGAGGUUUAUGUAAUUUACUAUCAAAUCUAGCAUUUUACCUAACUCAUCCCCAAUGUUCAUACCCGAUGAGAACCCUAUAGUGGGACGCAAUGUUCGACUCAGAGGAAGAAAUAACAACAGCUAUUGCUUGGAUAUCCU